UACGUAGGGGGCAAGCGUUGUCCGGAAUUAUUGGGCGUAAAGAGCGUGUAGGCGGUCCGGUAAGUCGGCUGUGAAAGUCCAGGGCUCAACCCUGGGAUGCCGGUCGAUACUGCCGGACUAGAGUUCGGAAGAGGCGAGUGGAAUUCCCGGUGUAGCGGUGAAAUGCGCAGAUAUCGGGAGGAACACCAGUGGCGAAGGCGGCUUCCUGGCCUGUUCUUGACGCUGAGGCGCGAAAGCUAGGGGAGCAAACGGG
rnacentral:rRNA from 1 species